rnacentral:siRNA from 1 species
AGCCAUGUGGUGAGCACA